AUAUCACGUCGAAAUACCGGUUCUCGUACGAUCACUGAAGUUAAGCAAUAUCGAGCCUGGUCAGUACCUAGACGGUUGACUGCUUGGGAAUAUCAAGUGCUGUCA